rnacentral:tRNA from 1 species
UCUGAAAUAGCUCAGUUGGUAGAGCUUCAGACUAUAAAAUCGAAAGGUCCUUGGUUCGAUCCCCGGUUGCGGCA